UUUCAAUUCAAGUGCAUAAUCCUAGCUACAGUAGCUGCUGUAGAACAAUCAGCUCUGGCCACUGUUUAUCUGUAGUGAGUCUAGGCUGUCAAUCCCCUGUUUAUUUCAGCUGUCUAUAUGUAUCCAUGUCUAUUUGCUUUGGAAGAGGCUGAAGACCUUUGUGAAAGGAGUCCAAAAAGAGUCGACGAGACAGCAAUGCUAAAUUCUGUCCUAUGGCAGUAUUUCUGAGGUAAGCAAAUCCCAAAAAGUUUCCUAUUGACACUUACCAGCCAGUGGACACUCUUUCAAUGAUGAGGAUGUACACAUCCUGAAUGGGGAGGAAAGCUGGUUUGAGCACGAAGUCAUGAGGCCAUUUACGUGAAAAGGGAAAGACCAUCUCUGAAUCGAGGAGGGGGCCUAAAGGUACAUCUAUUACCAUCUUACAAUGCUGUGAUUAAAGCCAUUCCCCAACUCUCUGUGAAUGGUACUUCUGGCCACUGAUCAAUGGUUGUUGAUCAUUCGUCAUGAGAAUUUGCAUAUUAAUGAUCAAGGAACUGACCUCACAGCCCAUUGUUCAUUCAGUGGGCUGGUUUCAGUCACUGUAGAAAUCUACUGUUUAUAAGUUUGGGGAAACCUGCAGUCAGCUGAGACUGAAGAAGUCACUUGGAUGAGUGACGAAACGUUUCUCCCACUGAAAACUCUACGUCCAGAUGAACAGAAUCAACCUUUUGGGGAAAAUGUGAAAUGUUUGAGGAGAAAAUUAUAUAAACUGUGUAUUUAAACAAUCAUGUACUAUUGGAUUGUAAGUUUAUUCAGUUUUUUAUUCAUUUAUUUUUUAUUUUCUCUCUUUUCCACGUGAUGUUACUCAUUUGUUCAAAGGGGUCACUUCCUUGAUGUUUGACUAAACUAAUGGUUUUGUGAUUACCCAGACCUGAUGUGUGCUCACACAAACACACAGUUUUCACUUUGAUUUUUAGUUUGGACAAAAAUGUCUAAAACUGGCCCGUGAAUAUAUAAACACACACACACAGACACACAGAGCCACAGCUAUGAAGAGUUUAGCUUACUAAUUUGAGUGACAGAAAACCCCAGUUAGGACCCUGCUGGGCAGAGAGAUAGGAGCUCAUCAGACUUAUCUCCCCCUCCCACAUCACCCACUGCAGACCCCUAGUUUCAACAUAAAUACAAAAACUUAAAACACCGCUUAUAUAUUUAUGGAGUCUAAUCUAAGUGAGCCAUCACUUAGCAUCGGGUAAACUGCACUUAACCUUCAUGAAUCCAUAAGAGCUGUGUCAGUGGUUAACACCAAACUGGUGUAAUGAGGAGUUUAAUAUGCACAAAACUAACUGUUACAAAGUGACACCAUGUUUUUUAAGAGGAAAUUCAGCAGGUUUAUGGGGCCAAAUAUAGCUGUUAUCAGC
ensembl:lncRNA